GAAGAAGAACGUAGCGAAAUGCGAUAAGUAGUGUGAAUUGCAGAAUUCAGUGAAUCAUCGAAUCUUUGAACGCACAUUGCGCCCCUUGGUAUCCCGAGGGGCAUGCCUGUUCGAGCGUCAUUUCACCACUCAAGCCUGGCUUGGUGUUGGGCGACGUCCUCUUUGGGGACGCGCCUCGAAACGCUCGGCGGCGUGGCACCGGCUUUAAGCGUAGCAGAAUCUUUCGCUUUGGAAGUCGGGGCCCCGUCUGCCGGAAGACCUGCUCGCAAGGUUGACCUCGGAUCAGGCAGGGAUACCCGCUGAACUUAAGCAUAUCAAUAAGCGGAGGA
rnacentral:misc_RNA from 1 species